UACGUAGGGGGGCAAGCGUUGUCCGGAUUUACUGGGCGUAAAGAGCGUGUAGGCGGCCAAACAGGUCCGUUGUGAAAACUGGAGGCUCAACCUCCAGACGUCGACGGAAACCGUGUGGCUAGAGUCCGGGAAGAGGAGAGUGGAAUUCCUGGUGUAGCGGUGGAAUGCGCAGAUAUCAGGAAGAACACCAACGGCGAAGGCAGCUCGCUGGGACGGAACUGACGCUAAGGCGCGAAAGCGAUGGGGAGCGAACGAGGA
rnacentral:rRNA from 1 species